GGAUGACUGAGGUUCCGUUCCUGUCUUUGAAAAGUUAGUCUUGGAGAAUUCAGAAACUAAGCAAACAGUUGCAGCACCAUGUGAAAAGGAAACUAAAACUCAGACAGACGUGACCUGCUUCCAGUUAUACCACAAGGUUGGCAGAAGGUGCUGCUUGUUGUUGCCACUCAGGGACCAAGGCUGACAGAGCAGUCACCACCUCCUUGCUGGCAGCUGCACCAGAAGGAAAGAGAGAGCAAUUACAUGCUCCAGAUUGGAAGUGACACACGCUGUCUCCUUUCACAGCUAAGUGGCCCAGACUAGCACCUGGAUUUACCUUGCUCAAGGGCCAGGAGUGCAAUUCUACCAUGUUCCCAGAAAUGGAAAGAACUGGAAAUAUUUAGCUAACAGCGUGAAACUUCACUACGAUGGAUGUUUGUUACAGUACUUGUCAUCCUUUUUUACAUGUUUGGAUUAUGCUUCAUAUUUUACACAAUGGGAAGAAAAGCCCUGGUUUUUAAAUCAGGAAGGGUGAGUUUUAGUCUGAGAAACAGAAGGUGAAAGAGUCAGUGGGUGGUGGACAGCAGUGGACAGAGGCUGUCAGUCCCAUAUAUCUGCCUAUUCCCAGGCCUGUCUCCAUGACUGUAAUAUCCACAAUGAUGCUGCAAUUAUCCCUUCUCCAGAAAUGCAUGUCCAUGUAAAUGACCCCAAGCAGGUUGACCUUCUUUGCUUUUGUUUCUAUCCACUGAGGCUGAGUAGGCAAUAGGAACCCUGAUACAAAGAGAUGUGGUAUGCAGGUCACGGAUUAUAAGGUCCAAAGACUUCACUAAGUCAGUCCCAGCUCUGCCACUCACACUUCCUGUCACCUUGGGCAAAUUGCCAUAGUGCCCAUGUCUAUUUUCCUCCUCUGUAAAAUGGGCAUAACAAUAACACUAAGUCUCUGAAUAGUUGUGAUAAACAAAUGAAGUAUGUAAAGUGUUUUGUAACUGUAACGUGCUGUACAGAAGGUCACUGUUACUAAAGACCCAAAUUUCACUGCAAGGGAAGCCUCAGUCCAGAUUUACAUUUCUGGCCGACAAUGACUCACACAACUUCCUUCACCAGAGCCACCUGGUUGACAAAAUAGACCCAGGCAUCAUUCUGUGGUCCAACUACUUGAAGAAUCUAUUGAUUUCCCCUUGCGAAAGUGAGUCUGGGAGCGGGGAUUAAGCAUUACUGCAGAUUCCCCAGGGGAGAAUAAAGGGAGAGGCUAUGAUUCCUGUGAACACGGCCUGAAUGGGGAGAUGCUCUAGGCCUGGACUGAAGCCUGGGUCUCUGGGACCCAUGGAAUAUUGGAGCUGGAAGAGCACACAAGGGAAACAGUGAUCUUUCCCAUCAUUUUUGAAAUGAAGAAACUUAGGCCAGGAGGGCCAAAAAGGAUGGCCCUUCUCAAACAGCAAGAGAAAGAUAAUCAAGAGAUCUGAGAUUUAUCCCGGGAUCUUCUAUUAACUCAGGGCAAGCCCCUUUUUACCAAAUGCCUGUUUCCUCACAGGCAAUUCAGGGAUUGAACCUGACCUCCAUGGUGAUUUCUAAUGCCUGUUACCUUAAGUGACACUCAGUUCUAUUACAUGUAAAAUGCAGUAGAGUUCUCCUGAAAAGUGAGCUUUCUGGUCCAGGUAUUGACUUUGUAGGUUUGGCUCUCAGGAGUUAUCUUCUUGUCCCCCUAUUCACUCUCUGAAUGCCACCUAUUUUCCUGCUAAAAAAAUGCUUCUUGGUGUCUUGCUAAUUUUUUUCUUAGACCUUGGAGCCUUCAUGCUCUGGACUUUCCUCUUACCUAACAAAUAUUCUUACCUGCCACUGUUACCUGCUCUGGGGGCUUGGCCAGAAUAGCCUUCAGUGGGUAGCAGAGAACAUGAGACAUAAGUCUUGCCCCCAAAGUCACUCCCAGGGGAUGCCCUGUAUGGCAAUAUUGCUGCUGAUAACAUUUCCCCAGAGAUCACAGGAAGCUGCGCAACCAGAUGCAAGUGUAUGUCUGAUCUACAGGCAGCAGGUGCAUCCUGCUUUGACAGGAGACGCAAACUCUACAGGAGGAUCUCUCAUGCCAUAUUACCUGGGGCCUUGCCCCUGAGGCUGACACAGUUUCUCCUCAGAGUUUGCACUAACUCAUUCUGCCAGCAAGUCCCAGGAACAGAGAAAAGACUAAUGCCUCCAUCCAUAAUAACAAAAGGUAGCCAUCACACCUGCAAGGCACUUCUUAGUCUGCAAAGCACUUUCAUACCCAUUAGCUUAUUUGAUUUUUAUGAAGAACUGAGAGGUAGCUGGGGAAGGGAUUUUUCUCCUGUGUUAUAGAUGAGAAAGUUUAUCUGAGGCCCAGAGAGGUUAAAGAAUGUAAGGUCAGAUCUUUUGAUUCUAAUUCCUGUUCUUUCCCCAUGGUACUACUGAAGUAUUAUCAUCUUAUUAUAAAAUUAUAUUAACAAUCAAGCUAGAGGGUCUAAAUCACUCUCAAAUAUAUAGAUACUCAUCAGCUCUCUUUUGCCCUUCAAUUAACAAUUUAGGAGGAGAAACCAUUUCUGAAACCAAAACAGCAUUUACAUUGUGGUUUGUGUAUUAUCUGGUGUCUAGAAUCCAGGUCUUUAGUUAACCUUUUCACCCCUUGUCCAUUUUCACCCCUAACUGGGUUUUUAUUUUGAUCAGUACAACUGGAGAAGGAAAAGCAAAUGCUGUUGUACUCGUCAUCAUGUGGGUGUCCGCAACCUCAAAAUGUCUCCUUAAAGGGAUUUCCAAGGUUGAAGGUCAUAACAGGAACUCUGUACUGUCUAAGACCUGUAAUGAUUCCCUAUUGCUUAGAGGGGGCUGAGAACCAGCAGCAUCAGCAUCAUCUGAGAGUUUAUUAGAAAUGCAAAUUUUCAGGUUCCACUCCAGACCAACUGCAUCAGAAUCUAUA
rnacentral:lncRNA from 10 species